rnacentral:rRNA from 1 species
AAUAGAUACCCCGGUAGUCCACGCCGUAAACGAUGAGUGCUAGGUGUUAGGGGGGUCCAACCCCUUAGUGCUGAAGUUAACACAUUAAGCACUCCGCCUGGGGAGUACGACCGCAAGGUUGAAACUCAAAGGAAUUGACGGGGGCCCGCACAAGCAGUGGAGCAUGUGGUUUAAUUCGAAGCAACGCGAAGAACCUUACCAGGUCUUGACAUCCUCUGACAACCCUAGAGAUAGGGCGUUCCCCUUCGGGGGACAGAGUGACAGGUGGUGCAUGGUUGUCGUCAGCUCGUGUCGUGAGAUGUUGGGUUAAGUCCCGCAACGAGCGCAACCCUUGAUGUUAGUUGCCAGCAUUCAGUUGGGCACUCUAACGUGACUGCCGGUGACAAACCGGAGGAAGGUGGGGAUGACGUCAAAUCAUCAUGCCCCUUAUGACCUGGGCUACACACGUGCUACAAUGGGCGGUACAAAGGGCAGCGAAACCGCGAGGUGGAGCCAAUCCCAUAAAGCCGCUCUCAGUUCGGAUUGCAGG